CGGUGGUGCAAGCCGAGCCCGCGGGCAGAAAAUAAAGCGAGCGCUGCAGAGAAGCGGAGCGGAGGGAAAGGGAGGGGAGGGGAGGGGAGGGCACAAGAGGAGGGGGAGGAGGGGGUGGGGAGCGCAGAGCGAGCGGAACAGAAGAGCGGAGCUGGCCGCGGAGCACCCACGCUGGCGGCGGCCGGAGCCGGGUCUCAUGGUUAUAGAAAAGACCACUGCGUGAACCUGAAAGGGAGAGUAUGGCAACAGCUUGGCCUCAUGGGAAACAGAUCCUUCUCUAGUUGCAG